rnacentral:tRNA from 1 species
GUCGGGAUGGCCGAGUGGUUAAGGCGCAGGAUUGCUAAUCCUGUGGCGUUCGCGCCGCGUGGGUUCGAAUCCCACUCCCGACG